rnacentral:rRNA from 1 species
AUUGAACGCUGGCGGCAGGCCUAACACAUGCAAGUCGAGCGGAUGAAGGGAGCUUUCUCCUGGAUUCAGCGUCGGGCGGGUGAGUAAUGCCUAGGAAUCUCCCUGCUUGUGGGGUAUAACGUCCUGAAACGGGCGCUGCUACCGCAUACUUCCUGAUGGUGAAAGUGGGGGGUCUUUGGACCUCACGCUAUCAUAUGAGCGUAGGUCGGGUUUGCUAGUUUGUUGGGUAAGUGCCUACCAAGCCGACGAUCCGUAACUGGUCUGAGAGGAUGAUCAGUCACACUGGAACUGAGACAGGCACAAGACGCCUACGGGAGGCAGCAGUGGGGAAUAUUAGGCAAUGGGCGAAAGCAUGGUCCAGCCAUCCCACGCGUGUGAAGAAGGUCUUCGGAGUGUAAAGACCUUCAAGUUGGGAGGAAGGGCAGUAACUUAAUACCUUGCUGUUUUGACGUUAACAACAGAAUAAGCACCGGCUAACUUCGUG